GAUGAGAUUAACUGGUGGUCUGGUUGAAAGGCUCAUUAUCUUUUUUAUGGAAGUUCGAUUCUUCCUCUCAUCA
rnacentral:tRNA from 1 species